rnacentral:rRNA from 1 species
AUUGAACGCUGGCGGCAGGCCUAACACAUGCAAGUCGAGCGGAUGCAGGGAGCUGGCUCCUGGAUUCAGCGGCGGACGGGUGAGUAAUGCCUAGGAAUCUGCCUGGUAGUGGGGGAUAACGUCCGGAAACGGGCGCUAAUACCGCAUACGUCCUGAGGGAGAAAGUGGGGGAUCUUCGGACCUCACGCUAUCAGAUGAGCCUAGGUCGGAUUAGCUAGUUGGUGGGGUAAAGGCCUACCAAGGCGACGAUCCGUAACUGGUCUGAGAGGAUGAUCAGUCACACUGGAACUGAGACACGGUCCAGACUCCUACGGGAGGCAGCAGUGGGGAAUAUUGGACAAUGGGCGAAAGCCUGAUCCAGCCAUGCCGCGUGUGUGAAGAAGGUCUUCGGAUUGUAAAGCACUUUAAGUUGGGAGGAAGGGCAGUAAGUUAAUACCUUGCUGUUUUGACGUUACCAAAAGAAUAAGCACCGGCUAACUUCGUG